rnacentral:rRNA from 1 species
UACGUAGGGUGCGAGCGUUAAUCGGAAUUACUGGGCGUAAAGCGUGCGCAGGCGGGCUUUUAAGCCAGACGUGAAAUCCCCCGGGCUUAACCUGGGAAUGGCGUUUGGGACUUGGAAGUCUGGAGUGCGGCAGAGGAGACUGGAAUUCCUGGUGUAGCAGUGAAAUGCGUAGAUAUCUGGAGGAACACCGGUGCGAAGGCGGCGAUCCUGGACCAAUUCUG